rnacentral:tRNA from 1 species
GUUAAAUUGGCAGAAUAGUGCACUUGACUUAGGAUCAAAAAAAAGAGGAAAAAGUAUUACCUCUAUUUAACU